GUGCUGUGACAGCCCCUUCUCUCUUUGGCUUUGAUUGUGGAUACGUAGGCCAAGAUUGGAACCUUCUUUGCUCUGGAACUCUACACCAUUAUGACAAUCAAAGCCUUCCACUACUCCCCCUGCCCUAUGUUCACCAGCAUGAGAUACAGAGUUGGAGAAAUCAACUUUCAUCAUGAUGAGAAAAUCAAGACACAGAGAUGAUUAUUAACUUGCUCAAGAUCACACAGAUUCCACAGAUUUUUCUCCAAAGACUCAUCGUGCUGAGAGGAAACAAACCAAAACAAACCAAAACAAAAACCAGCAAAAAUUUGGGGUCUUGGAAUGAGCACUGAUGUUGGAGUCAGAAGACUACCCUCCUGCAAAAGCAACUUUGGUCCUCACUCUGUCCUUUUAGGAGAUGAACAUGAAGGAAUGAAGAUGUCUCAACUGGAUAAAAAAAGAUUCAAGGAGACAUGAUACCUAUUUAGAGUGUUCCUUGGAAAAGUUGAAGAUCUGUCAACAAAGGGCACCUUCUUGUGAUGUGACAUCACCUGGAGAUAUGCAAUAAUAUCUUUCUCUAGAUGAGGCACGAGUGCUCCUAGUCUUCAUCAUGUCUAAGCAGCCCUCCACUAUUUCACUGUUUCUGUCACUUGCAUGAGCAUUGGAGGUCUCAGGUAAGAAGAAGCAAUGGAUGGUGCUUGAGACGGAAAGCUACAGAGAGACUGAUCCUCAGUCUCAGAUGAUGGAGCAGGAGAGUGAGGGUGGAGAUGCACAACAGAAUAUACAAGGAGAAGCUCAGGUGAGAUUUUGUAUGGGGGAACUGAAAAAGUGACACAAACACACAGCCAAGAAAACAUGCUCAGUAAAGGCCUGAGAAAACUUUAAAAUUUUUCCUCAGCUUGGUCUUAAGACUCAGAAAAUUAGUGAAGGACUUCCCUGGCAUAGCUAAUCUGUCUCAGCUGGGGGAGAUACUGUCUGAUUUUCAACAACACGACAAAUCCCAAGAGACACAAAGAGAUGGGGAAGCAUGGUACACACAUUUCCUGAAGAAGCACAGAUGUCACAUUUUCUAGACAAAGACUUAAAAGAAUUUAAAUGAGCUCACAUUGCUAACGGAAAAUAUGGACAAAAAUUGAAGGUAAUCAUGAAAAUGUGGUAUGGAGAAAACGAAGAUACUAUCAAAAUAAAGAAAUCAAAACAGAAACGAAAUAGAAUUUCUGCACCUGAAAAAUACAACAUCUGAGUUGAAAAAUUCCCUAGGGUAUACAACUGUAAACUUAAACAGGCAGAAGAAAGAAUCAGUGUACUUGAGGAUAGGAAUUUAAAAGUGAGUCUGAGGAGCAACAAGGAAAAAGAAUAACAUAAAUGAUCAGAGCCUUAGGUACCUGUGGAACAGCGUCAUGUACACUAUCAUGUGCAUUGUGGGUGUUUUAGGAGAGGACAGAAAGAGAAAAGGAGAUUAUUUGAGGGAAUGAUGGUUGAGCACUUUCCAAAUUUGAGGAAAUAAAUAGACAUACAAAUUUGAAGAACUUAAUAACUUCUUAGUAGAAUAAGCACAAACGAACUUACAUUUAGACACAUGAUAAAACAGUUGAAAGCCAAAGACUGAGAGAAUCUUGGAAACAACAAGAGAAAAUGAACUUGUCAUGUACACAGGAUACUUAACAAAAUAAUUAACUGAGUUGUCAGCAGUAAAAGUGGAAAUCAGAAGGGAGUGGAGCGAUAUAUUUAAAGUGCUGGAUGAAACAAUAUAAGGGUAUUUUGUAUGUGGUACAACUUUAAUGCAAAAGUGAGGGAGAAAUGAAGACAUUUGCAGGUGAACAAAAGUUAAGGGGAUUCAUUACCAAUAGAUUUGCCCUACAAGAAAUGUUGCUGGAAGCCUUUCAAAUUGAAAUGAAAAGACGCUGGGCACUAACUCAAAGCCAUGUGAAGCAUAAAGAUUUCCUGGUAAAGGUAAAUAAAUGGGCAAAUAUAAAAGAGCUAUUAUUAUUAUUUUGACUUAUAAUUCUACUUUUUAUUUUUUACAAGAUUUGAAAGACAAAUGAACAAAACAAUUGUAAGUAUAUUUUAAUGAGUAUAUAAUAUACAGUAUAAAGAUAUAAUAGGGAUGGAGCUAUAGAAUUCAUAUAUGAUAUUGAAGUCAAGGUCGUAUCAAUUUCAAACAGACUAUUAUACAUUUAGAUGUUAAGUGUAAUCUCUCAACAAAAUACUUUCAAAUACAGUUCAAUUCAGCAGCAUAUUAAAUGGACUAUAUAGCAUGACCAAAUGAGAUUUAUUCCUGGAACACAAGGGUGCUUCAGCAUAUGGAAAUCUAUGUGAUAUUGCAAUACAAUGAAGGAAAGAAAACACUUUUGUAAUGUCAACUGAUGCAAAGAAAACAUCUGACAAAACUCAACACUCUUAUGAGAAAUAUUCAAGAAACUGGGAACAGAAGGCCAUAAUGAAAACCCCACAACUAACCUCAUAGGCAACAGUAAAAGUUGAAAAGUUUUACUAUAAAUCAGGAAAAAGUUGAGGAUGAAUGCUUUUUAUCAAUUCUAUUCCAUUAGACAAGAAAAAGACACAAAGUCAUCUAAACUAGACAGGAAGAGGUAAAAUUAUUUCUGCAUGUAGAUAUCAGAUUUUAAAUGUAGAAAAUAGAAUAGGUUCACAAAAACAAAUGAAAAUCUUAGAACUA